GAUGAACGCUGGCGGCGUGCCUAAUACAUGCAAGUCGAGCGAACAGACGAGGAGCUUGCUCCUCUGACGUUAGCGGCGGACGGGUGAGUAACACGUGGAUAACCUACCUAUAAGACUGGGAUAACUUCGGGAAACCGGAGCUAAUACCGGAUAAUAUAUUGAACCGCAUGGUUCAAUAGUGAAAGACGGUUUUGCUGUCACUUAUAGAUGGACCCGCGCCGCAUUAGCUAGUUGGUAAGGUAACGGCUUACCAAGGCAACGAUGCGUAGCCGACCUGAGAGGGUGAUCGGCCACACUGGAACUGAGACACGGUCCAGACUCCUACGGGAGGCAGCAGGAGGAAAUCUUCCGCAAGGGGCGAAAGCCUGACGGAGCAACGCCGCGUGAGUGAUGUAGGUCUUCGGAUCGUAAAACUCUGUUAUUAGGGAAGAAAAAAUGUGUAAGUAACGAUGCACGUCUUGACGGUACCUAAGCAGAAAGCCACGGCUAACUACGG
rnacentral:rRNA from 1 species